GAUGAAGAACGUAGCGAAAUGCGAUAAGUAAUGCGAAUUGCAGAAUUCAGCGAGUCAUCGAAUCUUUGAACGCACAUUGCGCCCCCUGGUAUUCCGGGGGGCAUGCCUGUUCGAGCGUCAUUUCACCACUCAAGCCUCGCUUGGUAUUGGGCAACGCGGUCCGCCGCGUGCCUCAAAUCGUCCGGCUGGGUCUUCUGUCCCCUAAGCGUUGUGGAAACUAUUCGCUAAAGGGUGUUCGGGAGGCUACGCCGUAAAACAACCCCAUUUCUAAGGUUGACCUCGGAUCAGGUAGGGAUACCCGCUGAACUUAAGCAUAUCAAUAAGCGGAGGA
rnacentral:misc_RNA from 1 species